CUUGUUUGGUCAUAGGAAGCAGGUGUGUGUUGUAUUAGAAGCAGUGGGGAUUUCGUGUUUGCACUUUGAGGAGAUGUUAGGAUUGGCUCUUGGUGAAUUAGGUAUUCCCCUGAGGUCAUCGUGAGGCUUAUAUCAAGGCAGCCUGGGAAGCUGGGCUCUGUUUGUUUCUGUCUAUAGCAAGAGAAAGAGCUCUUGAGGCUUCGUGGUGUUGGGCUGGUGGUUGUUAGUUUUUGGUGUUACUGUGCAAGGUCUCAAACCAGCAACAAGAAAGAGGAUUUAUAUCCUGACUGAGCAGUUUCACUAGGAUAACAAGGAAGAAUAUACUUCCUCUCCUACUCUGUCCAACAUGCUGGUGCUUCUGUCUCUGCUGGAGUGUAGAAAGCUGUGGUGCUGCUUGUGUUCUUGGGCUUCCCUCAGUGAACAAGGUGAGCUGAAGGUGCUGUUCUGAGAAGAAGAUCGUGGCAAUAAGCACAGUCACUGGAGAGAGGAUGCUGGUGGAGUUGCCAGUUGAGAUCUUGUCAGAACAGUUUGUGGAAACCUUGGGCUUCUGUGCACAGAGCUGCUUCUUUUUAUAAGACUGGUCAGCAGUGGUGUUGAUUGUUGUGAGUUAAACUACAGUGCAAUGAACAGAGCUCCCAGUCCUUUGCCAUCUGAAAGCACAGUGUGGAGUGACAUGCUUGGAGAAUUGUUCAGAGGAAGCUCACUGGGUGGCUAAAAGGAUACUCACUGUGUGACCUGUUGAUGCCCACCUGUAAGUAUUGAAGUCUUAUGGUUUCAACAGCUGAAAGUGAAGAGGUGCUGCAAGCAGUCCUUGAAUUUCCUGGAUGCCCAUGGUUCUUGGAAUAGUUGCAAAGGUAGUGUCUAGAAGGACACUGUCCCUGGAGAAGAGGUUCUCUGCUGUUGGAAUGGUUGACCAGGCCUUUGCUCCCAGAGGGAUGACCUUUAUUUGCCAGGAAUAACAUGCAGAUGUGGCACACUGUAGACUGGGUGCUUUCUCUUCUGUGAAGAUCUGCUUGAGGAGUUAAGUGUUUCUAAACCAAUACAACAGCCAGGGCACCCAGUUAGUUGCUGAGUGAGUUCUCUACCAACCAGGAAAAGGGACCACGGGAGAUCAUGUGUGGGGCAGCUUUGGGCUUGACAACACUUAAGCAUCUUUUAAAGGUAGGAACAGCUUCCUGUUCUGACUGAUGGUCUUUACAGCAGCUUUGUGAUGACUGUUUCCAGGAGCACCUGAGCCACCUGGUUGGUUGAGCCAAAGCUGACCGUUCCAGGUAGGAGGGGACCCUGAUUUUAAAGCCUUCGUUUAGCUUGCAGCUGCUGGAGUUCUUUGUAGGUUUUCUAGCCUUAAUGGCAGUAUUCCCCUAGCAGAAGCACAGGUUAAUCAGGAAAUGAGUGCCAAAUAUUGGAAUUAUUGUGCAAGCACUGGGAAAAAAUUGGGUAAAUUGUAUUAUGGUACCACUGGAAAAGAAUCAGCAGUAUGUAAGAUUUAUUUCAUGGGUGCACACAUGUAACUAAAUCUUACAUUGACUGAAAUUUAGAAGUGAAUUAAGUAAAUUGUAAAAUGGGGGAAACUAUGCUCCUGUCUAGUGUAAGGCAGACUUCCUGAUUUAACCCAGUGAGACAGUAUUUUUCUAAUUUCCUGCACUAAAAGCAAUGCUGACUGGAAUUGGUUGUGUACUGUGCCUUGUGAGAAGGGAGAGAGCAGUAUGAAAACGUGUUUUUUUCUGGAGGACACCCUUGUUCUGGAUGUGUAAUUGUGCUUUGUUUAGUACUGCAUAGUUUGCCCUUGGCUCCUGUGUAUUGACUUGUGACUGUAUAGAAUACUAUGGUAGUAAACCAUUUCUAUUUGGUUCAAUUUUUAGAACACAUUUGAAGGAGCUGAGUAGUGAAUGUGAAGCUUAGUUUUACCAAAAGUUUGUAUAUGUACAAGCUGUAAUCUCUCUGAUGGUAGAAAACAUGAUGUGGCUGGAAGGCUUAAAUCUAUAUACAGUGGCCAAACAAUAGGUUUUUAGUGCUUUUGUAUUUCAAUUGUUUAAAAUGUUGAAGCUCUAAAACCUUUCCCCUCAUGGUGUUCCAGUCAAGGCUGCAGCUGUUAAGUAAUGAAGAUGGUUGGUGUUUUUGGUCUUGUACUGCUAUGGAACCCAAAUUUGGGGGGUGGGACUUGAAAUGUUCUUUAUGUAAAACCGACUGUAAACUUACUGCAGCCUUAGGUGUGUUGACUUUUUUUUUAAAAAGUGAAUGUCCACCACUUUUUGAUGGGAUAUACAUCUUUACAAAAUUCUAAGGUCAAUUCGCUGUACUGUAAACUUGUUACUACUUUUUUUGUAGAAGUACUGAUUUUUUAGGUGUACAUUAAUUGAGCUUGUAUGUACCCUAGGUCCACAUGGAAUACUGUAAAUGGAAUUAAGAAACAUAUUUCCUUUGUUUUAGGAAUGUGGAGAAUGUUAAAUUCUGUAAAUUGACCUAAAGAUCAGAGUAUUUGUGGGGAGGGGGAAGCAAAGUUGAAGAAUUCUAAUGUCUUGCCUUAGCAAGCUUCCAAGCUGCUGUCAAGAAGAGAAGCAAGAUCAUCUAUGUCCUGGGUGAGCAGGGCAAGGACUUGGGUUAUUGUUUCUGUUUGGGCCAGUAAGAGGCCAGUGUUUAAGGUUAGGAUCAGUGAUCAGUCAGAAUUGGGGGGGGGGGAGUUGAGUUGAACUGUACAUUUUGA